UACGGAGGGCGCAAGCGUUGUUCGGAAUCAUUGGGCGUAAAGCGCGUGUAGGCGGUUUGGUAAGUCGGGUGUGAAAUCCCGGGGCUCAACCCCGGAACUGCAUUCGAAACUGCCUGGCUAGAGUCCCGGGGGGGAGGGCGGAAUUCCCGGUGUAGAGGUGAAAUUCGUAGAUAUCGGGAGGAACACCAGCGGCGAAGGCGGCCCUCUGGACGGUGACUGACGCUGAGACGCGAAAGCGUGGGGAGCAAACAGG
rnacentral:rRNA from 1 species